GAAACCCCAGUGAGAGCGAGACUGCGAGACCAAAGUGGGGGAGCGCGGAGCAGAGCGCCGCCGAAGCCGGAGGCGAGGAUGAUGGAGGCGCGCCGGUGGCAAUCGCCGGCGGCUGCUGCUGCGGCCGCGGAGGCUGCGGAGGAGGGCGGCGGCGGCCCGUCAAGGCGCCCCCCGCGCCGCGGGCUGCACCGCGCGUCGCCCUACGGCUACGGGCUGGGGCCCCGCCGGUGGCUCCCCAAGCUCCCCGUGGCUUCCAGGAUCUUCCCUGCCAUGCCCCGCGACCGCGCCGCCUCCGACAAUAAUCAAGAGGUUCAUCAUGAAUCACUGGAAGUAAUUCAUGAAAGACACUCCGCAGAACCAAACACCGCUGCUGCACCCACUAGACCACCAACAUCUGUGAGGAAGAAAUCUAACCUACUUCUGGAAGGUGAUUACAGAAAUCCAAGUGAUGGCAAUGGGCUUGCUGAAAUUGAGAAGAUAAUCAACCAGAGACAUUUUUCUAGGGAUGAGACAGAACAUCUAAUCGAGAUCAUGCAGUCAAGGACUCCUGAUCUUAAUGUUCAAAACCAGAGAGCUCCAUGGUCUACUGCAAAAGGUUUUGAAGCCAUGCCAUUUUCAACACCUGCAAAACUGAUUGACCCUCAGCCAUCUUGGGCGACCGAUAUCUUUCCACCCUCAAAUGUGCAUGAGGUCGGUUCUUCACCAAUUGAAAUUGCAAAAGCUUUUAUGGAAGCACAGACCUCGGCAUCUGUGCAUGAGUCUCAAAAGCGAAAAUUCAGAGCUUUGAGUCAUGGAGUUGAGACCGAGAAUUCUGCAGCAAAUUUUUUCCCUAAAGUAGCUACUGAUUCUUCGGUCGUCAGAGAUUAUCCCAAUUAUCUUACACCACAAAGUAAUAAAGGAAGGACUCUGCCUCAGCCUUUCUCUCGCACACCUUAUAGUGGCUCAGUUUUUCAGAGAUCUAUUAAGAAUAGCAGGCAUGGUGAUACAUACAAUAACUCGUCUGGACAGUCACAACUUUCAACUCCUUUUUCUGUUGGAAGUAAGACAAUACUAGAGGAUAAACUGGCAUCAUCUUCCAGAGGAAGACAAAUAGAUACUUUUGGCACUACUACUUCCUUUGUUCCAAGAGAAGGUUCUUCAGCUACCAAGAAUAGUGCAUUCAACCUGCAAGGGCCCCAUGGCAAAGGCACCAUAGAAAGCAGCUCAACUCCUGGCCGUUUUUCAGCGGUAGACAAUAUCUCCAGAGGUGCUUCGGUAUCUGUUCAUCCCAAGUCAAGCGAAACAGCUUACAAAAUACUUCAGCAUCUUGAGAAAACUAUUCCUUCCCCUACAUCAAAGCCACUGGAGAUAAGACAGACUUUAUCAAAGAGAAAUGCUCCUUCUGUUGUCACCAAUAGCCAGCUUAAAGGGCCUGACUCCAAUAUUAGCAAUGGUCAUAGACAGAGCAGCGUUAACGAGAGUGGCAAUGCUUACCUGGAGAUUGCAGAUGCAAAAACGGUUCAGGAAUCUCCAAGCAGUCCCAAUGCAGAGGAGUCAAGCCUAAAAAUUCAGAGCAGCGGUGCUAAUGCAGAAGUUCCUGAAACACAAACUUCUCAGCAUAUUUUGAAAUCAGACUUGACAUGCACGUCAGCUGCUGAGGUCUUGGAUAAAAAUACUAGCAAAGGUUUUACCUUCACAUUUCCUGUUGCUAAUGCUCCAAGUUCUCUUCUUGAACCGCCGCCUACACCAACUUUGGCUUCACCACCACCAAGGAGCCUGCCAGUCAAUACCGAAGAUAUUCCCAAGUUUACCUUUGGCUUAUCCAGUACGACCAACAGCCUUGUUUUCUCCUUCGACUCCACAAGCGGUUCUGUUGGUGCAGACGGGACAGUCGCAACCUUCAAGUUUGGGUCUGAUAAAAAGCAGCUGGUUUUGCACUUUGCACCCGUGGUUGUGUCAUUGGGCAUGAGUCAAUUUAGUCUAUAGUUUAGAGGAUUUCAUAUCUGAGUGGAACUUCAUAAAGCCUCAUCUUUUUGGUCCAAGAAAUAGCUGCCUGAUUGGGGCAAAGCACAGGCUGGACUGAUGUUGCCCCCGAACCUAAGCGGCCAAAUAUCGCCAAAGAAUGGUGUCAUACACGUAACCAGGUAUGUAUGAAUUAUGAUUUCACCGCGUCGUGAAUAAGGCAAAAUUGUUUGGCAAACACAGGUGAUGUAGGAAGGGUUGUGCGAGAAAAUUAGACGAGCAUGGGCAGAGGCAACGACCUUUUUCUCUUUUUAAACUAAGGGCCGGAGCUUUUUCUCUGCCAUUCAUUAUUCGAGCCAUAAACCGGAUGAUAUACCGGCAACAAAACGCGCUGGAGGCCUGAAGAAAGGGGAAUCUCGUCCGUGCAUUAUUGUUUCCCCUGCACUGCUGGUAUGAUUGAAGGAAGCGUCAAAUCGUCCGACUAGGAGGGUUUGAUGGUAAGUCUCAACGACUAAUCACUCGGUGAAGAUUGGGCCAAUCCAUGAUUCAUUCAUACAUUUCGUUUCGAGUAUAGGUUCUGUGCACGAAGGAACAUGCACUGCCAUCAGUGGAAGUGGAUUAACGGGAUGGUCAUUCACUUAUGCAUCAUUAUCGUGUAAUUAAUUAUUCGUGUAGCCAUGCCGAUUACAAAGUAGUAGCCAAUUCUCAUCUGGGCCCUCCGUCGAAGAAAGUUUGUGAUACCAUACGGUGCAAUGGUUUCACAACUGCUGGCCAUGAAGAAGACAUGAUGGUAAGGGUCGGAUCCAAAGCCACCAAGUAAGAGGGGAUCUCCUUCUUCUUUCUUCUUAUCUUCUUCUUUUCCCCUCUUCCAUGCCCAAAAUUGAAUGGGGCUGGGGAGGCUCGCCGAGGGGCUGGUGGAUCCACCCCUGAAGCGUACAAAGUUUCUACUGUAGCACCUGAUUUUAUGUCUUUUAUCAGGUAGGUUUGAAGCAACCCUCUGUACAACAUAUUAAGGGUGUGUUUGGUUGCUCAAAUAAGAUUAUGUAGAACUAUAUCUUAUAAGCAUGCUGAGUGGAAGCAGUUUGAGUGGAGUUAUAUGUGUUGAAAAGAAAAAUGUUUGAUUGGUUGUAUCUGACACCAAAUGA